AGUUAAACCUCAUAAAAACCUCGGAAAAACCUUUGUUUAUUAUUUUCAAGAUGGCGGCGGGAAUGUAUUUAGAACAUUACCUUGACAGUAUAGAAAAUCUGCCGUUUGAGCUACAGAGGAAUUUCACUCUUAUGAGAGACCUGGACACACGGACAGAGGAUCUGAAAGGGCAGAUAGACUCGUUGGCUCGUGAGUACACGUCAAACACACACACCCUCUCCUCUGAGCAGAAGCUCUCCCUGCUCCGGCAGAUCCAGCAGUCAUAUGGCAAGUGUAAAGAGUUUGGAGAUGAUAAGGUCCAACUGGCCAUGCAGACCUAUGAGAUGGUGGACAAACACAUUCGCAGGCUGGACACAGACCUGGCCCGCUUCGAGGCAGACCUGAAGGAGAAAAAGAUUGAGAGCACAGACUAUGACUCUACCUCCAGUAAGGGAAUCAAGAGUGAGCUCAGGGGGCCAAAAGAGAAGGUGGCUCGCACAAGGUUAAAGGUGAAGUCAGACGACGACUGCAGCCCCAAAAGCGGACAGAAGAAAGUCAAACUAACACAAGCGCCUGAGUUCACAGCCCCUACAGUGAACUUUGGGAACGUCCACCCCUCGGACGUGCUGGACAUGCCCGUGGACCCCAACGAGCCCACCUACUGCCUGUGUCACCAAGUGUCCUACGGAGAGAUGAUUGGCUGUGACAACACAGACAGAGAAGCAAUGACAUCACGUCCUGAGAUGACGGAAUUGAAAUGAACCCCAACCCUGAUUGGUGCUCCAUUGAGUGGUUCCACUUCGCCUGCGUGGGGCUAACAACAAAACCCAGAGGAAAAUGGUACUGUCCAAGGUGUACUCAGGAGAGGAAGAAAAAAUGAACCCAGAGACCAUCAUAACCAACAAUCAUGAAGCUAGAGUUUACAAAGGAGGGUUCAGUGUUUGUAUUUCAACAUGGGGAAACCCUCCAUAAACACUAACAUUGACCCCGCAGGGUCAUGUUUAAUAGUUCACACCGUCGCAAAUUGUCAAAACCGAAAUGAGCAUUUCCUAUUGGGCAAGUCCAGAGUAGCCCCUUCCCUGUAUCCAUAUCCAUGUCGUCCAUAUUCUUCAGUUCAGUGUCUAAUGAACACACACACACACACAGUAUUAGGGUCCUGCUGGUCUGCCAUCCUGUAUAAUUCUCUUUGUUAAACAGAAAGAAGCUAUGAUGAACAUUUGACAGAGGCGAAGUUAGACGCCCCCCAAUCAUGACUAUUAUGUUGCAUUUUAUUUUCGAACUUUUUUUGACGGUUGCUUUAAUGCCUUUAUAUGCAGAGUAAUACAGGGACGUAAUACCCUUAUUUUACAGCCGAUGGUUCUAUAUGGCUCUCAGCCACUCGGUUGCUUCAUGGCAGACUAACAGCGACUCCUACUGGAUGCUUUUAUACUGAACACUAAUUCAGCCCUGAUACACGCAGAUCUCAUGUGUUAACUCUUAUUUUCCAACUGUUAUCUUAAUUCACCCCUGGUUAUUUCCAUAUCAGACUUUUGGGGGACAGAACAUUUAUUGAUUAAGCAGAGUCAUUGAUUUAGUUGAUAGAUUUGACUCAAUGAGAAUAUACAGAUCUAGAUGUCCUAGUUCAGAAUGCAGUCGGAAGCAAACUGGACAGAAUUUCUCUCGCACAUUCGCUUAAACAGCGAUGACCUGAAUUGCAGGUUGUUUGCACAAAAUUAGUGCGCUGGAAAUGGAAUUGCUUAAAGGAAUGUAGAUGCUAACACUUUCAAAUAUAUAUGGAUAUUUUGAUAGGCCCCAACUUGCAUCAUUCAACAAUGUCCUGUAUAUUUCUAUUAUGGAGAGGCAUAUCUUUGACUGGCUGUGUUUAUGAAGAGCCUUAUUGAUCAUUACUGUAAGAAUAACAAUUUAAAUGUGCUUAUAAGUAUCAGUUACCUGAUACUUUGCCCAGUAGGUUUUGACUGGUGCCUCAAGAAUAUUAUUUCAAGUUCAACUAAUGAACAUUUAUUUUGUUGCCAUUUACUUUUUGUAUUCAAAGUGUAAUUGAAUACUGUACUGAAACAUUGGAUGCUGUUUUUGGUGUUUUUCCAUUAAGCAAUAAAGCUUUAAAAAAAAUAGUAAAAUGAAA